rnacentral:snRNA from 1 species
AGGGUCUACUUGCAAAGGAUGG